rnacentral:misc_RNA from 1 species
AGAUGGAAAGCGUCAGGGCGGACAUUGGCAAAGACCUUAUGAGAGAGGUCAGUUGAGUGGAUGUAAAGAAUGAACUUACCUAUGAUGUAGUUAACAGAAAAACCAUGGCUAGUAGACUUAGCUAAAGCUGAUUGAAGGUCCCAGAAUUUAGUUGGAUUUGUGACUAAGGGAAUUACGUUGCCAAGGAAGGGGAAUACAAGAGUUGGGCCAGGAAGAAAACGCUUCUUCUUGAUGUAAGAGAUCUGUUCAAGAAGAAGUAAAAAAGCUAUGAAAGAAAUGAAAUAAGGUAUCCAUGGAGAUAACAAACCCCAAAUGGA